GGGGAUAGCUCAAGUGGUAGAACACAUGCUUAGCAUGCAUGAGGUCCUGGGUUCAAUCCCCAGAACCUCCU
rnacentral:tRNA from 1 species